UACGUAGGGUGCAAGCGUUGUCCGGAAUUAUUGGGCGUAAAGAGCUCGUAGGCGGUCUGUCGCGUCGGCUGUGAAAUCCCGAGGCUCAACCUCGGGUCUGCAGUCGAUACGGGCAAACUAGAGUAUUGCAGGGGAGACUGGAAUUCCUGGUGUAGCGGUGAAAUGCGCAGAUAUCAGGAGGAACACCGGUGGCGGAGGCGGGUCUCUGGGCAAUAACUGACGCUGAGGAGCGAAAGCGUGGGGAGCGAACAGG
rnacentral:rRNA from 1 species